UACGUAGGGUGCAAGCGUUAUCCGGAAUUAUUGGGCGUAAAGAGCUCGUAGGCGGUUUGUCGCGUCUGCUGUGAAAACUGGGGGCUCAACCCCCAGCCUGCAGUGGGUACGGGCAGACUAGAGUGCGGUAGGGGAGAUUGGAAUUCCUGGUGUAGCGGUGGAAUGCGCAGAUAUCAGGAGGAACACCGAUGGCGAAGGCAGGUCUCUGGGCCACUACUGACGCUGAGGAGCGAGAGCGUGGGGAGCGAACAGG
rnacentral:rRNA from 1 species